CCAAUCUGGCCCUUUCAAGAGCAAAAGCCUAAAGGGCAGAGCAUCUAGCUAAGUAGUAAAAAUGUAUGACUGCUUAUGAUCAGAUCCAUAGCCUGCUGCAAGAGAAUAUAACAUAUAUAGACAGUAGAGCAAUCAUGAUUUGCUUUUUGUUUUUUUUACUACAACUCCAAGAAUUCCUAAAGCCAGCAUGGCCACACUAGUUUGGAGGAUUCUGGGAACGACAGUCCAAAUAUUAGCUAUUCCUGUUUCUGGAUAAAGAUAUGUAUUAGAUUAUCCAACAAUUUAUUGAAAUGGUUUGCCUGUUAGUUUACUAUGCUGCAUGUGCAUUUGAAUAUGAUACAUUCAAGUAGGGUAACACUUUAAAGCAUAUAUAUUUCAACCAUAACUCUGUACCAUACAGCACUGACUCUCUGAUGAAGUUUUUUUUUACAAGGAAGGAAAAUUAGGUGUAAACUGAGCUUUAGUGCAUACAAAUCAAAUGUGUUGUAGAAGGCAAAUCUUAGCAUUGCAUACAAGAAUGAAUAAUUUCAGAAGUUUUCUUCCCAUUGGACCAAGGGAUUUUCUGCAUUUUUCAAUGAUCAUUUACAUUUUGAGACUUUUUGUGGCAAACUUGUUUCCAUAAUAAAACCUGGAUUAUAGUAUAAAAUGCAUAGCUUGUGAUAAAUUUGACAGCCCCUAAAAGUUGCAAAGUGUGGGGAAACUGUCAGUGUAUCACCAUUUCAUGAAUAGAGCAUCUUGGUGUGUUCAGGACUUUCUUUCUGUUGAAGAUAAGAAAAAAGUUUUCACAUGUGUUUGGUCAUAAAGCAUGUUCAUGCAGAUAUUAAAAACAGAUGAGAAUCAUAUAAUCAUAGAGUUGGAAGAGACCUUGUGGGCCAUCCAGUCCAACCCCCUGCCAAGAAGCAGAAAAAUCGCAUUCAAAGCACCCCCGGCAGAUGGCCAUCCAACAUCUGCUUCAAAGCCUCCAAAGAAGGAGCCUCCACCACACACUGGGGCAGAGAGUUCCACUACUGGACAGCUCUCAUGGCACAAUUCUUUCAGGAGACAUUUGCCAAGACAAAUGCAGGUGUCCAGCAUUGAUUUUAACAUGGGGACAGAUCCGGUUUUACAAAGAGGUGAGACAACUACCAGCAUUGGAAGGAUAAAACCUGAGCUUUACAAACAGAAGUCUGUGGAUUCAGAAGGAAAGAAAGAGGAUGUGAAAACCUGUGGGAAACUUAGCUUUACCCUCAAGUACGAUUAUGAGAAUGAAUUGCUGUUGGUGACCAUUGUCAAAGCUUUGGAUUUACCAGCAAAAGACUUCACUGGUACAUCAGAUCCUUACGUGAAAAUCUACCUUCUUCCAGACAGAAAAAAGAAGUUUCAGACAAGGGUUCAUAGAAAGACUUUAAACCCUGUCUUUGAUGAAACAUUUCAGUUUCCUGUAGCCUAUGAUCAACUUUGCAACAGGAAAUUGCAUUUCAGUGUCUAUGACUUUGACAGGUUUUCGAGACAUGAUAUGAUUGGGGAAGUUAUUCUUGACAACUUUUUUGAAGUGUCCGAUCUCUCUAGAGAGGCCACAGUAUGGAAAGAUAUCCAUUAUGCCACUACAGAAAGUGUUGAUUUGGGGGAGAUCAUGUUUUCCCUUUGUUAUUUGCCUACAGCAGGGAGAAUGACCCUCACAGUCAUCAAAUGCAGAAAUCUCAAAGCAAUGGACAUCACAGGCUCAUCAGAUCCGUAUGUCAAAGUAUCCCUCAUGUGCGAUGGGCGGCGACUGAAGAAGAGGAAAACAACUAUUAAAAAGAACACUCUUAAUCCAGUAUACAAUGAGGCCAUUGUUUUUGACAUCCCUCCAGAGAAUGUGGACCAAGUCAGUCUCUCCAUUGCUGUUAUGGACUAUGACCGAGUAGGACACAAUGAGGUGAUCGGAGUGUGCAGGACUGGACUUGAUGCAGAUGGACUUGGAAGAGACCACUGGAAUGAAAUGCUGGCAUAUCCCCGGAAGCCAAUAACCCACUGGCAUCACUUAGUAGAGGCACCACUCCUAUACAGCACGUUCAUUCAUCUCAUGGAGCUUCAGGGAAUCCAUCUGUGUAAGCGCCAUUGAAAUGAAAGCGGUUUGCUCAAGAGAAGAUCAUAGCCGAUUAUUGCCACAAAGCCCACAUUUCUGCUCAUGCAAACCAUUCAUUCCAAUGGAUAGAUCUCAUCUGCACAGUAGUGGAUGGGCAGAUUGUUUGCCUCCAUAUGAAUGAAUGAGAAGCUAUUGUGGAAAAGAGGGCUCUGUGGAAGAAAUAUACUAGAGAAAACCAACACAAAUGGGGAACCCUGGAUGCUACUUGAAGUGGCAGGUUGAGCGUAGAAAUUUUGAACUGAAACAAUAUGAAAGGUAUCUGCAACCCUACUGGUGCAAAUCCAGUCCUGGGCCAGAACAGACAAAUCUUUCACUUUGGAUGUUUCCCACAUCUUUACCUUGAUCUUCUUUUUAUCCUGAAUAAGAAGAAAUUUACAUAUUCUUAUGCAAUUCUAAAUAGAAAAUACUUUUCAGAAUCAGAAAUUGCUGUUUGCACGGUUUGGAAACAUGUAUUUCAAAAAUCCCUGUCAGUCGAGUUUAAAACAGGUUUUUCAUGAAGGCAUAGGUUGAAAUAUGUUGGUCUGUUUCUUGGAAGAAACCUUUAUUUUCUUUUUCCUUUUUACACCCAUGGAUUCUAUUUCUCCUUCAUAUAUUUUCCAACCUGGAAAUGUCAGUGAUAGGACAUGGAAUCUUGUAGUUUCAGAGCAAAAGGAAUGUGUUUUAAGUCUGAGACACCCCUUUCCAAAGAGCAUGAAAAGAUGCCUUUUGCCAGGUCAGACUCCUUGUCGAUUUAUAUCAGGCAUGGGCAAAUUUUGGGGCUGUUAGGAAUUGUGGGAGUUGAAGUCCAAAACACCUGGAGCCCCAAAGUUUGCCCAUGCCUGAUUUAUAUUAAUCAUGUCUAUUCUGAUUAGCAACAGUUUCCCAAGGUCUCAGAUAGAAUUCUUUUCCAUCAUCAUCUACCUGAUCUUUCAUGAACUAGACUAGAAUAAAUACAAUAUUUUCUGCAUGCAAAGCAUGUGCCGAUUCACCAAACUGUAUUAAUUCCCCAACUUAAUGGGAGAAAAGUGCCACAUAACCACUUUGGCAUUGUGUGGUGGAGAAGUGACAACUACAGUUCCCUGGCAUUUCUCUGCCACCGUCAAUAUAAUUCUACUUAAUGCAUACACUGACAUUCACACACCUGGAACAAUUUCCUGGAUCAAAUAUGUGCCUAUCGUCUGCAGUGCAUGUCGUAUUUUAUUCAUCAUAACGGAUGUGAAACAGGGAUACCAUCCAGCAAGAAAUGCUUGCCUCGCUUGCUUAGAAUGGUAACAAAAUGAUGAUAUAGCUGCAGCAUUGCCAGAUUUCGAAUUAAGGUGUGAUGUGUUACUAAGUCUGUUUGGAUUUUCCCUGUACUGUAUGGGUAUUGCAAUCUCUUGUUUGCGUUAUCGGUUGUCAGAGUGCCUGUCUUUAUUGUACUUUACUGCUCCCUUGCACAUGAAACAGCUAUAUAUUUAUAUGGGAAAUGAAGAAACAAAGUUUACUUUUGAUAGAGAUAAGAGGAUUGAAAUUAUUUCUCAGCUGAAAGAUAAAUAAAAUAUAUAGAUAUAAAUAUAUCAAUUUCAUACAAAUUAUACUAUUUUCUUCUAAAUUGUUAGCCAUGCUUUGUCCACUUCAGAUGUUCAUGCAAGUAGAAACAGCUAUGGUCACGCCAUGUAGCACAGUGACCCUAGUUGUAUGAGAAGGCUUCUCAUUGUCAUCUAUGGAAGUUAUUAAAUUGUUUGCACAAAAGGGCUUUGCUUACUCAAUAAGAUUAUACUUUCAUUGUUGACAAUGGCAGCCUCUUGGAAACAUAAAAUAUCAUAUCCAUGGUCACACUGCAUAAACAUAAUCCCUAAGUGCUUUAAUGCCCAACAUAGAGCUCAGUGCCCAUUCUGGCUAAAAUGUUCUGGGAGUGGUAGCCCCCCAAAAUAAACAAUUUCCAGUUCUGGUCCAAAAUAUUUUCCAACACAAUUUUUACUGUUGGUAGACUUUGUCUGGAAUAAAGAGAGACAUACAAUUUCACAUUCUCUUCACUUCUUGAUCUUGAAAUCCCUAUAAUAUAUCCUGGAAGAAUUAGCUCUUCCAAGUCAGUGCUUGCAAAUAGCUAUCUAUUUGACAUUAUUAUUUUUAUUAUCUAUAUAUCCCACUUUCUCUUUCCAUAAGGAGACUAAAAACGGCUACAAUACAAUUUAAAAUAUACAAAUAUUAAAGCAAUAUUCUACAUAAUUAGUAUUAAAAACAAUUCAGAUUAAAUCCAUAAAAAACAUAUAAAACUACAGCAGUCCCUUGACAUCUUUCUUCACAGAAUGCCCCUUCUGACCCCACAGUUCUUUCCAGGGAUGGAAAAUAGAACUGCCAAAAUUCCUCAGCAAAAAAGGAAGAUAUACAAUGUUUCCCUGUUGUGUUCAGAAUUCUCCAAAGACAGGGUGUUCAACUUCUUUCCAUGGUCUACUGAGCAUGUGUUCCUUCAGAAACACUAUAUAUUUCUUAAAAUGAAGUGUGUGGAUCUUUUUAGCUCACGAGGACCAUAUUCCCUGGGGAAGGGGGGUAAUCUGUCAUGAUCCUCAUACCAUCAGUAAGGGUCAGAACUGAAGACCUCAUUAGGUGGGACCAGAGUAAAAAGUAGACAGAAUUGCUAUUUUUGUCAAUCUCUACCUCCCAACCCUUUUCCUUUGUCUCUUUUGGAUAGAUUUGUAUUUAAUGCUCUAAUUUUUCUUCUUCCGUAUCCAGUAGAUUUCUGGGUGAGUGACCAAGGCCUUUUGCCAGGAGUCUGUUCAGUUGAUUUGCAGAAUGCUUCUCAACUGGGGCCUCACCUACACUGCCAUAUAAAAUCCAGAUUAUCUGCUUUGAACUGGAUUAUAUUAGUCUACACUGCCAUAUAUUCCAGUUCAAAGAAGAUAAUCUGGGUUUUAUAUGGCAGUGUAGAUGGGGCUUAGACUGAGGACCAUUUAUGGCUCUGAGAUCAUAGCUUGCUUUAAAAAAGAACUGCAACUAUCUUGGUAUUCUUUAAAGGCCACACAGUACAAUAUGAUCCCAUUGUCAUGAUGCUGUUUGUCCUUCUGGCCUUUUCCAAUAUGUGGCAGCACUAAGACCCCAUCCACACAGCUGUAUAAAAUCCACAUUGAACUGGAUUAUAUGGCAGUGUGGACUCAGAUAAUCCAUCAGAUAUUGUGAAUUAUCUGCCUUGAUAUUCCGGGUUAUAUGGCUGUGUGGAAGGACCCUGAGAUAAAGCUACCAUGGGCUUUUCUUGGCAUGAUUUCUUUAGAGGGGGCUUUCCUUUACUUGAGAAAUUGUAAUGGGCCUGAGGUCAAGGAAACAUCUAUGUCCACACAAGGAUUCAAACAAUGAGUCUUAGUCCAACACACAAAUCACCACAUCACACUGGCUUCCCAGUGUCAUAAUUCAGUUUCACAAUUCUCCCAACCCCAGAUUUAUUUGAUAAUUUGCCUUUUGUAGUGUAGGAUAGGGACUUGUCAGGAACAGACCUAAAAAUUGUCUUUUACUCAACUACACAGAACUAAGAUGUACUGGCUCUUUACCAUAAUAAUGUACUUUUGCCACCAUUGUGCUCUAUUUUCAAUAUUAUAUUCAGGGAAUCUACUCCAUGGAAAUGAAGUGGACAAAGUCUGCCUUUUGAUAUUAUAUUUUAUUCACCUUUUUUGUUUGACAUACAGAGAUAAGUAACUGUUGGAAAACUUGAAGAUGAAAAAUUGUAAUAAAGCACUUUUUAAAACCUCUUUUUAAAAUUAAGUACAAAGUUUCCACAUCACCAAUUAGAGCCUGAUGAAAUGCAUACUAAAGACUUCAGAAAUUUAUAGUAGAUACAUUAGUAAAAGUCCUUCCGAUGAAUACAACAGACACAUUCCUGUCUAUAGCUGCAAUCCAUAGGUUUGAAUUUUUUGGCUUAAUGAAACUGCGUAAGGAAAAAUGCAAAUAUUUUUAACAUGGGUGCAUAUGCACUGAAACUCUAUCCACCAAACGCUGCUCAAGAAUUAGAAUAGGCCCAUUGAAUCAAUGGGAUUUACAGAAGUGUUUUGGCCACCAAGUUUGGUGUUAACUGUGUGUCAAGUUCAACCAGGCACUCUGCAUCAUAAUGGAGCUUGGGCAAGGCUCAAGGGAAGUAUUAUCAUGACCUUUGGUAUACACAACUGUAUCAGGCUCUAAACAGCCCAAAUUCAACUAAACUGACUAUCUGUGGAAUAAUCUAAAUGACAAGCUGGUCAGGUCAAUGUAGCCUAUAAGAACGUCAAUAUUCUUCAAACCAUCUGCCUAGUUUUUGCUAUUUGAUGUCAGCUGAAUGGGAUCGUGUAGGGUACCCUUUACGCAGUGUUAACUAUGUGACUUUUGCAAGGCAGUUUGUGAUUUGGCAUUUAGCCACUGUUCACGUAGGUAUCUUUGGCUUCUGCAUUUGAUCGGCAGAAUUUUUUAAAAGCACACUCCCUCCCCCGAAACACACCCCCAGCAACACAUGUCCCUGGCUUUUUGUAUGCGCUAAAUAGCCAUUUGUGGAAAACUUGAGAGUAUAUAAUUGUUAUUACUGAGAUCGUAACUGUUUUUUGCACUAGCCUUUGAGAAAUGUACAACAUGUUUCUGUAUUUUUACAAUGUAACAUCUAGAACGUGUGAAAAUCUAUUUGUCAGCUGAGAGAGGGGGAAAUAUCAAAAUAUGUAAUGACAACACCUCAAAAACAUGUUAUGAAGUGUACAGUUUGUGAUAAUUUUAUAUCUUUAAAAAACCAAAAAACAAGAGACAUUUGAUAUGAUUUUAUUCUAUUUGUUUCAUAUGUAUUUUGAACAAGAAAUAAAGUGAUCUAAAAUUAUA